UAACACAUUUGAUGUGUUUAAAUGGAUAGCUGUUGGCAAUCCUAAAUGAAAGUUUUUUGACAGCGAUUUCAUUUGUUGAAAUGUUUUUGCAAUGAGAGAGUAUCAGCAAAUUGCAGUGCACAAGCCGGUUGUUAAUCGUUUUAAAAACAUUCUUAUUUAAUUAUAAUUUCUAAUGAUAACAAUUGUAAUAAAUUACUGAUGUUGUGAAGCUAAAAUUUUUGGUGUUUUUUCAUUAAAAUAAAUUAAUCGAAAAUUGUCUUCACGCAAUGUCAGAAACAAAUAUAAAAAAUGAUUUGACGGUUGCUCUAACGGGACUUCAGUCCAUAAGGACACGAGGUCUGCAUAAACUGUUCAGUCAUAAAAUAAGUUAAACAAACAGGAACAAAAUUACUAAAUUACGCUACUUCUAGUAAUUGGAAAAUGGAAAAAAGAAGUGAGAACGUGUUUUUGUAUGAUUCUUAAAAUAUUUGGCAUUAGUGUUUCACAUUAAAAAUAUAUUUAUUAUUGCCAACAAAUAAUGACUCCGUUGGACCUCAAAUGCAUAAGUAUAAACCACGCAAUAAAAAUGGGGACAAUAAUCAAAAUAGUUUGUCUUAAGUCAAAGGCAUUGAAAUUUCAAUGAUGGAAUGCGAUUUUGAAUUUUAUUAAUGUUUCCUUCCAAUUAUUGCAUUCCUCACCGUUUCAGCACUGGAGAAUAAAAAUUUGAUUAUAAAGAAAAUGAAUUAAAAAUAACUUCUCUGCAGUUACAAUAACCCAGGAAUUCCCCAAAAACACAAAUAAAGUAUUUUUGGAAAGACUAUGCCAAUAUUCGAUGUCAGGACAUUUCACAUGUCGAACUGCUGAAUAAUGAAACAUUGAAGAUUUGUUAAUUAAAGAUGAUUCCUGGUGAAAAUUGACGAUUAAAAUGAUUACACUUAAAUUACUGCAAAUAUAACCAGAUUGUAGUUAUAAUUUAAAUAUUAAAGACGAAGAUGACGGUUGUGAAUAACUUCAUGCUAAUUAUCAGUAGCAAGUUAAUGUGUAGCAUAUGCUAUUAACUUGUAUUUUAUACUUAUUAAAAAUAAUGUAUCUCUGCAGACAAGCUGCUCUAUAUUGUUAUCAUGUGGUGAUGCUUUAAAGCAAUGUGUAACUUUGAUAUACAUUAUGAAAUCAUACUAUGAUCAAAAAACAAAUACUGAAUUUAGUACUACGAAUUUAUUUCUCCAUAAGUCUCAUCUGCCGUAAUAUUUAAACAUUCCAGUCUUAAAGAAUGUUUAUAUGUGUUCCUGUUUAAAAGAUAUUGUUAUCUACUUACCAAGCAACAGAUAAGACACAUUAGUUUUUUUGGAAUAAUUAUUAAACUCAGUAUAAAAAAAAUGAUUGAAUGCAACAACAACAUAAUCUUCAAAACAACAACAAAAACUUAAGCAAGUCAUCAAAGCUAAG